rnacentral:misc_RNA from 1 species
UAAUAAAAGUGUUUUAUGGCACUUUUAAAACAAUCCAUAUCCACCUUGUGUGCAAUGUUUUUUCAUUAUCAACUCUUUAUUUUAAUUAUUUUGUCUGAAAUAUAUUAUGAAUAACUUAAUUCAAAAAUA